AGAAUCAUUAAAAUACUUCUGUUUGAAAAGCUGCAGUUUUGCUGUAGGUGCAGAUUUUGAGAUCUCAUGUAAAACAAUACUAUUAAAAGGUAACAGAGCUCUACUAAAAUUAUUAUAUUAUAACAUGUUAUGAUUUGUGAUCCACGUUUAUUAUAUAUGCAA